GAUCUUUGAAAAACGGUUCCUGUGAGCUAUAUUUUUGAAAAUACACAGCCCGCCUCUCCCUUCAGCCCUCCCAUCAAAGCCACGCCUUCAAAACACAUGAACGCGCAUGCAGUCUGUCAAGUGUUCGGAUUAUCCCGGGAACCCACGAGAGCUCACGAGGCGGGGGCGGGCUAGAAGCCUCGACAAAUCGAUUAGCCAAGCUAACUUCCAGCCAUGGCACUGUCUCCGGCUAAGACCUUCCACGACCACGAGAGCUCCAGCUCUGACUUUCCUGGCCCAUCACACGACCUAACAGCCCAGUAGGACCGAUGGCCAGAGAUGGAGGAGGAGGAAGAUAGACGCAGCAGAGGUCGGGGGUAUUGAUUAGGGAGACUCCAACAGAAUUGACGCCCUGCUAACUGCCUUGAUUCAAUCAUUGAAUUUGAAGCAAUCCCAUCGGUUACUGCAGCGUGCCCUGACCCGUGACCCCAGUUUGAUGUUCGACCUGGCACAUGACAUCUGGUCCUCAGUCACAGCCCAGUAGCACAACCAACCUGGCGCCUCUGCGCAAUCUGUAAGGAGAUGCCCAUGAACAUUGAAAGGAAAUGCUGUGGUGUUCUCAGUUUUGAUGGAAGACUUUGGGCUGAUGUAGGACCAGGUGAGACAAACGGUCUCUUCAGGCAUGCAGCCUACAGACAGUAUGGGGCACUUGAACAGGGCUGACGUUGUAAUACACAGUACAAUACCCAGGAUAAGCCAGGGUUACCCUGCUCCACUAGAGCAAUAUAAAAGGUUUAUACAGAGUACGGUAUAAAACACACAAAUCGGCAGUGUGCAGAGUUUUAUUAUUUUUCAUUAUCUGUAGGA